rnacentral:rRNA from 1 species
CCUACGGGUAGCAGCAGUGAGGAAUAUUGGUCAAUGGUCGGGAGACUGAACCAGCCAAGCCGCGUGAGGGAUGAAGGUACAGAGUAUCGUAAACCUCUUUUGUCAGGGAACAAAGGCGGGGACGUGUCCCCGGAUGAGUGUACCUGAAGAAAAAGCAUCGGCUAACUCCGUGCCAGCAGCCGCGGUAGUACGGAGGAUGCGAGCGUUAUCCGGAUUUAUUGGGUUUAAAGGGUGCGCGGGCGGUCUGUUAAGUCAGCGGCCAAAGCCCGGGGCUCAACCCCGGCCCGCCGUUGAAACUGGCAGUCUGGAGUUGGAGAGAAGAAGGCGGAAUGCGCGGUGUAGCGGUGAAAUGCAUAGAGAUCGCGCAGAACUCCGAGUGCGAAGGCAGCAUGCCGGCUCCACACUGACGCUGAGGCACGAAAGCGUGGGUAUCGAACAGGAGUAGAUACCCGAGUAGUC